CCUACGGUGGGCUGCAGUCGAGAAUCAUUCACAAUGGAGGCAACUCUGAUGGUGCGACGCCGCGUGCGGGAAUGAAGCUCUUCGAAUUGUAAACUCCUGUUAUGUGGGCGCAAAUUACAAAGAUUGUACCGCAAUAGGAAGAGCGGGCUAAAUCUGUGCCAGCAGCUGCGGUAAUACAGCGGCUUCAAGCGUUGUGCGGCAUCACUGGGCGUAAUGCGUGCGUAGGCUGUUGCGUAAGUCGUGGGUGAAAGGCGCGGGCUCAACCCGCGGACGGCACAUGAUACUGUCGGGCUAGAGUAAUGGUGGGGUAAGCGGAAUGUACGGUGUAGCAGUGAAAUGCAUAGAGAUC
rnacentral:rRNA from 1 species